rnacentral:rRNA from 1 species
AUUAGAUACCCUGGUAGUCCACGCAGUAAACGAUGAAUACUAGCUGUUCGGGGCAAAUGAGCCUUGAGUGGCACAGCGAAAGCGUUAAGUAUUCCACCUGGGGAGUACGCCGGCAACGGUGAAACUCAAAGGAAUUGACGGGGGCCCGCACAAGCGGAGGAACAUGUGGUUUAAUUCGAUGAUACGCGAGGAACCUUACCCGGGCUCAAACGCAGCAGGAAUACUUUUGAAAGGAGGUAGCUCUACGGAGCCUGCUGCGAGGUGCUGCAUGGUUGUCGUCAGCUCGUGCCGUGAGGUGUCGGCUUAAGUGCCAUAACGAGCGCAACCCCUGUCGACAGUUGCUAACAGGUUAGGCUGAGGACUCUGUCGAGACUGCCGGCGCAAGCUGCGGGGAAGGCGGGGAUGACGUCAAAUCAUCAUGCCCCUUAUGCUUAGGGCUACACACGUGCUACAAUGGGUGGUACAGAGGGCAGCCAAGUCGUGAGGCGGAGCUAAUCCCUUAAAGCCAUUCUCAGUUCGGAUUGUAGGCUGAAACUCGCCUACAUGAAGCUGGAGUUACUAGUAAUCGCAGAUCAGAAUGCUGCGGUGAAUGCGUUCCCGGGUCUUGUACACACCGCCCGUCACACCACGGAAGUUGGGGGCGCCCGAAGCCACUUAGCUAACCCUUUUGGGAAGCGAGUGUCGAAGGUGAAAUCAAUAACUGGGGUGAAGUCGUAACAAGGUAAC